UUUUCUCUAAUUCAUCAUCAAGCUCAAAAAACCCAAAAAAACAUUUUACCAAAAGAAGAACUUGUUUGAAUGUGAAGCCAUUUUCAACAGCUAAGCUACUCUGAGCCCCCCCACAUCUGUAGGACCAAUAGGUCCAUGAGACCUAUUCCUAGGUGAAGUGGGUCUGAACCUAUUAGGUAUAACAGAAAACCCAACAGGAAAAGGUUUAGUAACCCUUAAUUCAAACCCUGCCUCACCUAAAUGGCUCCACCCACCUUCUGCAACUUUGGAUGGUCGCACACUGGUUUCAACAAAUGGGGCAAAUGGGUGCCUUCAAAAAGCCACAAACCCACAUAUUGAAAAUGAAAACCGUGCUCACUGAUAGGCAACAACCUGAACUCAUGCUCUUGUUAUUACCUGAGUUGACAUUAGACCUUGCAAUGUUCAUCCCUAAGAGCACUACCCACCAUGAAAACAUGGAUCAAAACAAGAACCCAAAUGCCCACAAAUGUAAAAUGCACUUCGUCUUCUCUCUCUGAAAUCUCCAAAAUCUCUCUCCCCAAGGAUUUUUUUUCUUCCACUCUCUGAUAUGCUAUUUCUUGCAAAGCAUCCCCUUUUUCUCACUUUAUAGCGGGCAUCUCCUAAAAUGUAAAAAACAAUUCACAAAUAUUCCACAUUAACCAUGAAAGACUAACACAAUCAGAAUCUGAAUCCCCUGCAUCGAUUGCACAUCCAUGGAUUGAAAAAAUAGAUCAAAAC
rnacentral:lncRNA from 1 species